rnacentral:lncRNA from 1 species
GAACGUAUUUUAAAAGAAAAUUUAUUAUGUUAUGAUAAAAAAAAAAAAAAAAAUAAUAAUAAUAAUAAUAAUAAUAAUGAUAAUGAUAAUAAUAAUAAUUACAUUAUAACAGGUUUUAAAAAUUUAGUUAGUUAUUUGUAUAUAACAAAUGAAAAAAUAAUACCUAGUUCAUUUUGUUUAUUAUUUUAUCGAGAGGAAGAAAAAAAAAAAAAGAUAGUACAACUUGAAGAUAGAUACAGUUUGUUUUUAUCAUUAUUACAAGAAAGUGAUACGUGCAUUAAUAGUUCCACUAAUGGUUAUACUGGUAAUACAACUUGUGAUGCAAAUAACAUAAAACCCACUAUUACAACCAACGUUACACCCAACGUUACACCCAACGUUAGUGGGAACAUAAAAAUUAUUAAUGAGUUUUUAAAUAAGGGUAAAAUUUUAAUAUAUAGAAAUAAAAAAAACUAUUUUAAAAAUUUUAUUACAAAAUUUUAUAAUGAAAUAAUAAUUUUUUUUUUUGGAAUAAAAACAUCUUAUUUGAACACAUUUUUUGACUUUUAUAUAUAUAAUUAUAAUUAUUAUUUAAUAGAUUUUAUACAAUUGUGUAAUGAAGAAAUAGAUAAAAUGAAAGAAAAUGUCGCUGAUAGGAGUCCCGAUGAAGGUUUAUGUAUCACAUCGUUAGAUCGUUCUGCUGUUACAAUUACAUCAACCAAUAGUAAUAAUAAUACUACUACUUUGUUUCCAAAACCAACUCAAUUUAUUUUUGUUCUUAUAGAAAAAAUAAAAAAUUUAAUAAAUAAAUGCCAUAAUAGAUUUAUAAUAUAUAAUUUCCCAUGUAGUAUGGAACAAGUUGAAUUAUUAAAACAAGAAGGUAUAAAUUUAAAAGUGGAAGGGUUUUACUUUAAUUAUUAUUACGACAAUAGUACGGAUUUAAAAAAAAAGUGUAACAAAAAGAGAAAUAAUAAUGAGUGAUUAUACUCAUAGAAAAAUGAGUCGGGGUAAUAUUAGUAGGAAUAGUCUAAUAUUAGAAUUAAAAACUGAUCAAAAUAUUAUAAAAAAUCAAAUGAGUGUCUUUUCUCCUGUAUGUAUAAGUAAAAUGAUAAAUAAUAAAAACUUUUCUAUAUUUAAUAUUAAAGAAAAA